rnacentral:lncRNA from 10 species
CCACUUACUCAUCUAGUAAAUAUGUAUUCAAUGCCAACUGCAUGACAAGUACUAUGCGAGGGUCUAGGCAAUUGUGAAUCAAAAGAAACAAAGGUCACUACUGUCAUGGAGUUUAGAACUAGUGGGAAAACAGAAACAAAUGUAAAAUGGGAUUCUGCUGAAGGUUACAAAGAAGAAGCAUGAAGAGCUGAAUCGGGAAGAUAAGAGAAGGUGCUCCUAAAGAAAUUGACACUGAUAUGGACUAUGAGAAGUAGAAGAUGACGAUGAAUCAAAAAGCUAAACGAUCUCCAGGCAGAGAAGCAUGUUCAAAGGUGUUCUUGCUAUAGGGAUUAUGCC